rnacentral:rRNA from 1 species
UAAGGAAUAUUGCUCAAUGGGCGAAAGCCUGACCGAGCAACGCCGCGUGAAUGAUGAAGGCCUUCGGGUUGUAAAAUUCUGUUAUAAGGGAAGAAUGGCUCUAGUAGGAAAUGGCUAGAGUGUGACGGUACCUUAUGAGAAAGCCACGGCUAAUUACGUGCCAGCAGCCGCGGUAAUACGUAGGUGGCGAGCGUUAUCCGGAAUUAUUGGGCGUAAAGAGCGCGCAGGUGGUUGAUUAAGUCUGAUGUGAAAGCCCACGGCUUAACCGUGGAGGGUCAUUGGAAACUGGUCAACUUGAGUGCAGAAGAGGGAAGUGGAAUUCCAUGUGUAGCGGUGAAAUGCGUAGAGAUAUGGAGGAACACCAGUGGCGAAGGCGGCUUCCUGGUCUGUAACUGACACUGAGGCGCGAAAGCGUGGGGAGCAAACA